ACCUUAGAUUCGUAGUGACCUGCGGAGGAUCAUUA
rnacentral:rRNA from 1 species